rnacentral:rRNA from 1 species
AACGCUGGCGGCGUGCUUAACACAUGCAAGUCGAGCGAUGAAGCACCUUCGGGUGUGAAUUAGCGGCGAACGGGUGAGGAACACGUGAAGAAUCUGCCUUCAACUCUGGGAUAACUCCGGGAAACCGGGGCUAAUACCGGAUAUUUUCCCUGGUGGGCAUCCACUGGGGAAGAAAGAAUUUCGGUCAAGGAUGAGCUCGCGGCCUAUCAGCUAGUUGGUGAGGUAAUGGGCUCACCAAGGCGACGACGGGUAGCCGGCCUGAGAGGGUGACCGGCCACACUGGAACUGAGACACGGUCCAGACUCCUACGGGAGGCAGCAGUGGGGAAUAUUGCACAAUGGGCGAAAGCCUGAUGCAGCAACGCCGCGUAAGGGACGAAGGCCUUCGGGUUGUAAACCUCUUUUAGCAGGGAAGAAGCGAAAGUGACGGUACCUGCAGAAAAAGCACCGGCUAACUACGUG